AUAACUUCUUGGUCUGUUGGCUAAGAUCAUAUAUAUAAUCUGAUCUUAUCUGAUAAAUAUUUGAUACAUCCUCUAUAAAAUUACAAUCAACAAUAUUUUCAGUGGAUUCUCGGAAAUCGGAGGUAGAAUAAAGCUUACUAUAUGAACUCCAAACAUAGACCCAGUAUUAUAGUAAAUCCAUGAAAGGUACACCCUGU
rnacentral:snRNA from 1 species